GCCCGCUGCACACACGUCCCUCGCGCCUCCACACUCUUCCUCUCCAUCCUUCAGGCUCCAGCUCCUCCCUGACCCAAACCAUGGUUUCUAUUCCUUGUUUUCUGGCUAGUCAGAAAACUCUGCAGGGGGAUAGUGACUACUCCCUCCCCCCUCCCAGUUAGACUCUUUGCUCUAAAGGACAGGCUCUAGAAUUUCUUCUUCUGCCUCCAGACCCCUCUCCCCCUUCCGCCCAGCAGGGCCCUGGAAACCAGCUAGCGGCCAGCCGUGUUUUGAGAGAUGAACAGUAAGGGAUGAGAAGGACAGCAAAGGCAAGGGGAGCUCUUCUUGGGCCUCUGCUCACUAGGUAACUGGUUUCCCUCUGGACCUGAUUCUCCCCAUCCUGCAGCUCACACAGGUUGGGGCAGCGAGGGAGGGAGGAUUUCUCACCAGGCCCCACCCACACCACGGCCGGAGAGCGGGAGCACGUUAGGGCCUUGUCUACUGUGCACCACCUGGGACCCAGGCCUGUGCUGGCUUCGCGCGUGAGCUCACUUACCCGAAAUAGCCUCAUGACGGGGGUUGCUCGUUGGCCUCAGUUUCCAGUGGAGGAAGCUGAGGCUUCGAGAGGCUGGAUAGUUGCCCAGGUCACCCAGCUGAUGAGAAAACUGAGGCCAGCGAGGGCAGCUGGUAAAUGGCAGGCAGCGUGUGUGCACAGAUACAGAGGUGCGGCAACUCCUGAGCAGCCUUCAGUCUUGAGCCUUCCAGAGGGCCGCGUUACGACUCCAGGGAGAUCGAUCUAAGAAUGUGAUCCACACUCCACUCUGUGGCCUGGGAGACGUUUCCAAAACACGGCUCUGGGAAAGUCACACCGCUGCUCACCAGCUCACUGCGGCUCCCCACUGCGUUCUCCAUGAGGUCCGGCGGUCUGGCAGGCUCCUUUGAGCCCCACCCGAAACUUUCCAGCAUUGUCUGCGGGUACAGCCAUUCACGUUCCCAGGCUUCUCGUCUGUGCCUGAACAUUUCCUGCCAUUUUCUGCCUCCUGGGUUUUGCUCAAGCAUUUGUUUGGAAUGCCCUUUCCCUAUACGUU